ACUCCUACGGGAGGCAGCAGUAGGGAAUAUUGGGCAAUGGACGCAAGUCUGACCCAGCCAUGCCGCGUGCAGGAUGAAGGCCUUCUGGGUUGUAAACUGCUUUUAUCUAGGAAGAAAAUACUCUUGCGAGAGGAACUGACGGUACUAGGUGAAUAAGCACCGGCUAACUCCGUGCCAGCAGCCGCGGUAAUACGGAGGGUGCAAGCGUUGUCCGGAUUUAUUGGGUUUAAAGGGUGCGUAGGCGGCUUUAUAAGUCCGUGGUGAAAUCCAACAGCUCAACUGUUGAACUGCCAUGGAUACUGUAA
rnacentral:rRNA from 1 species